AAAACAAAUGUAGAAAGCAAAAAUGUCACAACUUUAUUCAACAAAAACAUUUUUUCCAACAAAAAAAAAAAAAAAAGAAAUCCACACGAAUAGAUCAUCUUAUUGCUCUUAUCAAGAUUUAAACACUAAAAAAAUAAAAAAUAAAAAAAUUAAAUAUAUAUAUAAUAUUAAUUUAUCAAAAUGCUUUGAAUAUGAUCAAAAUGUAAGAAAUAUAUUUUUUUAUAAAACAUAAAUUAAAUGAUUUUUCUUUUUUGCUAGACAAUAUUGACGUAUUUAUACAAAUAUUUAUUUUAAAAAAUAAAGGGGAGCAGGAACGGGAAAAGGAUAGGGAAAAGGAUAGGGAAAAUGAAAGAGAAAAGGAAGGAGAAAUGGGAAGACAAAGGGAAGAAGAGAAAAAAAAUGAAGAAAAGUGUUUGGAUAAGAAAUGUACCUCUGAUGGGUUAAGUAUUCAAAGUAGAACACAUAAAUUAAACAGUUUUAGUUACCCUUGUGGUAAAAAAAACACAAAAAAAAAACAAAUGUCAGUGUUACAAAACGAUGCCCAAUAAACAAAAUACAAAACAAAUAUUUUUUUAAAUAUGAUGAAAAAAAUUCUAUAAAUUUUUUAAAAUUAUACUGGCUAUAUUUUAAUAAUUUUCCAAAUUUAAAUAUUAAUAAAGAGAUAUUAACGUAUUUAGAUUUAUAUUUUAUAAAUAAAUAUUUUUAUAAAGACAUGCAUAUAUAUAUUCCUGGCUUAAACAUUUAUAAACAGCCACCACCAUUCCAACAAAAUAUUACUCAUAUAAAUUCAGAAAAACUGUAUACGAUCGAAUAUACUGCUAAACAAAACAUUAAUAAUGUUACGACAAAUAGUGAUAAUUACAAAAAUAAAAAUAUUAAUACUGAAAAAUGUAAAAAAAUGUACUAAAAAAACAAGGUACUCAAAUAAAUGUUUCUUUGCUAGAAAAAUUAUCACAAGAUAUCAAUACGCACGAUACAAAUAUAAUCAAAUUAAUAGAUUUCGAUACAUGUUUUUUCAUUCAAAAAAAAUAAAAAUAUACAAACACCAACAACAGACAUUUUUAACUCUUAUGAAUGUUUAUUUAAUGUUAAUAACAAUAACUCUGAUAUUUUCAAAAGAAUGUCGUAUAACUUUGGUUCAGUCCUGUAUACAUUUGUAUAUGGAAAAACCCCAUACUUCGGCAAAAAUAUAUUCGAAAUUUAUGACAACAUGA
rnacentral:lncRNA from 1 species